rnacentral:rRNA from 1 species
AGCAAUUGGAGGGCAAGUCUGGUGCCAGCAGCCGCGGUAAUUCCAGCUCCAAUAGCGUAUAUUAAACUUGUUGCAGUUAAAAAGCUCGUAGUUGUAUUUUUGCGUUGACGGUUUGACCAUUUGGUUGGUUAUUUCGUUUUCGCUUUUGGGAAUUUCCCUUUUUACUUUGAGAAAAUUAGAGUGUUUCAAGCAGACUUUUGUCUUGAAUACUUCAGCAUGGAAUAAUAGAGUAGGACUUUGGUUCUAUUUUGUUGGUUAUUGAACCUUAGUAAUGGUUAAUAGGAACGGUUGGGGGCAUUCGUAUUUAACUGUCAGAGGUGAAAUUCUUAGAUUUGUUAAAGACGAACUACUGCGAAAGCAUUUGCCAAGGACGUUUCCAUUAAUCAAGAACGAAAGUUAGGGGAUCGAAGACGAUCAGAUACCGU